AUUGAACGCUGGCGGCAUGCUUUACACAUGCAAGUCGAACGGUAACAGGUUAAGCUGACGAGUGGCGAACGGGUGAGUAAUGCAUCGGAACGUGCCCGGUCGUGGGGGAUAACGCAGCGAAAGCUGCGCUAAUACCGCAUACGAUCUGAGGAUGAAAGCGGGGGACCGUAAGGCCUCGCGCGAUCGGAGCGGCCGAUGUCAGAUUAGGUAGUUGGUGGGGUAAAGGCUCACCAAGCCAACGAUCUGUAGCUGGUCUGAGAGGACGACCAGCCACACUGGGGCUGAGACACGGCCCAGACUCCUACGGGAGGCAGCAGUGGGGAAUUUUGGACAAUGGGCGAAAGCCUGAUCCAGCAAUGCAGCGUGCAGGAAGAAGGCCUUCGGGUUGUAAACUGCUUUUGUACGGAGCGAAAAGGUCUCCUCUAAUACAGGGGGCUCAUGACGGUACCGUAAGAAUAAGCACCGGCUAACUACGUGCCAGCCGCCGCAGUAA
rnacentral:rRNA from 1 species